UUGCAUUUCGGAUAAAAGUUUGAUAUAAUGGCUUUGUUCGGGUUAAACCGGACUAUGAUGUUAAACGAAAAGCGGAAUAGGUGUAGUGGACCCGGGGGCGGUACCCGGCACCUCCACCAGAAAAUAUGGGGGUGAAACAGCAUCGACACGCAUAGUAAAGGCUUUCUCUUACAUUCGGUAUGGUAACCGCCGUUAUCGGGCUAAAAAAAAUAAAUGCAAACGAUAACUUUGCACCGGUUGCUUUGGCCGCUUAAUAGCGUCCUUGUGACCACUUAAUUCCCGAACCAUUUUGCGGUUUGGGUGAGGCUUCCCGAAGGGCCCAGCAACAGAAC
rnacentral:tmRNA from 1 species